AUGCUCAUCCCAGCAGCAUAUAUAAUAAACAUGGAAUAACACAGAGAAGAUUAGCGUGGCUCUCCAGAAGAUGGCCCAAAAAUUCACAAAAUGUUUCUUAUUUUU